GUCUCACUUUCUGGUGCAACUCCAAGCCUCCAUUCUCGUUUGUUUGCUUUAGGCAAUUGACUCGGCAUAUGUCCAGCCACCCCCACCAGCCAGCACAUGCACCGGGUUUCCUGCACAUGUGGGCCUUGUGGAAGUAUUACAGGACUCUGCGAUGAAGCCUUUAAAUUUUCUAUUUCACUGUCCUAUCUGGGUAGCCAUCAGGACAGGCCAAGGAGUUGUGGCAGACCCUGCGACAACGGCGUCAGCCUCCGAGCACGGCCAAAGCGUGCGGCCCGAGGACCUGGGCAUUCUUAAGAAUGUGAGUAAGAUACAACAGCCCGGUGCCAGCAGGGACUGCUCAGAUGGCGAGGCUGCUUUCUUUUGCACCUGACACAGAUUGGCAUGCCCACCUGUCUGAGAGAUGAGUAGAGGGCUGCGACCCGCAGAGGGGAUGAAAGUGGGUUGCUGGGCUGGGACUCACCGGGAGGGAUUUUUGAGUCUGCUUUGGAGACGGAUGUGGAAGAAGUGGCCCCUUAGGCCAUGAAAAGGGAAAGUGUCACUUUUGAUCACAGUGCUGAGGUGCUCAGGGCAGAGCAGUCCCGGUGUGUCUCGUGUCACUUGUCCGUCGUGCAUUAUGUGUUGUUUGGGUAUCCCAUGUCACAGGUCUUUUUCCUUAGCCCUUUGAGGGGCCUGUCAGAAACCCAUGCAUCAUUCUUAGCAUCUGUGAUCUCUGCGUUCCUUGGCCUGGCACCGAUGCCAUAGAACUUUUGACUCGGGAGCUCAGACAGGCAUCAGAACUGCCACUCUUUUUAGAAGC